GGCUACACACGUGCUACAAUGGGUAGAACAGAGAGUUGCAAAGCCGUGAGGUGAAGCUAAUCUCAGAAAACUAUUCUUAGUUCGGAUUGUACUCUGCAACUCGAGUACAUGAAGUUGGAAUCGCUAGUAAUCGCGAAUCAGCAAUGUCGCGGUGAAUACGUUCUCGGGUCUUGUACACACCGCCCGUCACACCACGAGAGUUGGUUGCACCUGAAGUAGCAGGCCUAACCGUAAGGAUGGAUGCUCCGAGGGUGUGAUUAGCGAUUGGGGUGAAGUCGUAACAAGGUAUCCGUACGGGAACGU
rnacentral:rRNA from 1 species